UUGUAUUAAAAAAAAAAUUCUACGGAUGGUUCGAUACAUUUUUGCGUGUUGUAAAUGGUCCUUGCGGUGAUAAAGAAGUCUGCUAAAGUUGGGACUGCAGAAGUGUCAAACCCUUAAUAAACUCAUGCUUUGAUAUCCCCCAACAGAUUGGUGGCUGUGAAGACUGUGAAGUCUUCAUGUUGAUGUUGAGACAUUGUUUUGAUAUAAUUAAACCAAUGAUUGGUGUGGUGGUGUUUUUAUUUUAAUUUUUUAAAGUUGUUAAAUAUGGAACAAGGAAGGAUUUUUUUAAUUUGACGUUUACAGAGAUAAUGUUCCUUAAUUUUUGCUGUUUUCCAGUAUGCUCUACAUCUUGUCUUGGGAGCACCCUUUGAUUUUACAUCUUGCGACUUUCCAAACAUACAGAGAUUGUGGGCUCUUAUUCUUCUGGAGAACUUUGGGGUUUUCUCUGCAAGUGCAGAAACCCUACAAGAGUCCCUUCCAUGUGAAGAACAAGCUACGCUUAGCAGCAGUGAGG